AAAAAACUGAUGCUUGAUACAUCCGACAACACUAACCGUGUUUCUCACAGUAAAAGGCUCACUUAAAAUCCUUUAAUUUUCCCAUUAAUCGUCACUAAAGUAGAGCAUUAAACACAGAGACUGGAGCAGUAUUAGCAUUAGCCGCUAACUGCACUAAAUGCUAAGCGCUAGCUCUUUUGCAGUUCAGAGGUGAGUACAUCAGACUGUAGUCGGCAUGUUUACCGUGUUAAAACAAGCUAUGUGGGAUAAACCACUAGCUGAUAUUACCCUGGCUUAUCAGAACACUCAGGGUUCCUCAGAGUAGUGUUAUUGGGUGACAUUAGCCUUUAGUGCUAGCAGUUAGCUGCUAAUCCUAAUGCUGCUGCACCCAGUAUAAAUCUGCUAAUAUAAGCUUACUGGAAAUAAAUGGAAACACUUUAUUCACCCAAAUAAACAAAAUUACAGGAGAGAAAUCCGUGUAGAUUAACAUCCAGUGCUCGUUUAGACCAGAAAUUUAUUUUUUAUUGAUAGUGCACUUUAUAAUCCGGUGCACCUUAUAGCGCAAAAAAUACAGUACAUUAUUAGAAAAUGUAUGUUUGAAAUGUUAUAGGGGGGUCGGGAGCCAGCUAUGAAAAGAAUUUGAUUAUAUUUUGGUAAUUAAAGGCUACAUUAAAAACAAAAAAUUAAAAUGAUUCUCCUUAAGGUGAUUUUUAAGUCAGUUGAACAAGAAAUAUUGAACUGCACCUUAAACUAUAACAAACUAGUUGCCUCAACUUACUUUAUUGAGUUUCUUGUUAAAAGUUGGUGUAACUAAAUCAUUUGUGUUUGCCAAAAUUGCAAACUGUAGUUGAACCCUAGUUGACUACUCUGCACUUCUGAACAUGCUCAGUUUUACUAUUUAGUUAAAUGGGGUCUACUGAGCAAUUAUGCAGGGGUUUUCCCAUGAUGUUGGUCACGCUAUAUGCAUAUUGGGCGUGUCCUCACACUCACCAUCAGUGUGUAGUCUUUCUUCACAGGCUGCGUCUCCUGGGAUUCACAAAUGCUUCAUACAGUAUCUGCCUGGUCUCAGUGUGGAAGGCAAUAAGAGGUGAUGUGGAUCAGCACAAGGCGUCUGUGAGCUGAUGUAUCAGAACCACGGUUGCUGCGCUUUCCUCCAUGCGCGCUGUGAUGCUACUCAGCAAUGCUGCAUCAGCAGCAGUUCCAAAAGAGGCAUGUGCUAGUCUUCACCCUCCUUGUAUACAAGAAGACAUCAGUAGUGAUGGAGGAUAUACAGCUGAGAAUUGGCCACAUAAAUUGGGGAGAAAAUUAAAAAUAGAAAUUAAAAAAAGAAAAUUUAAU
rnacentral:lncRNA from 1 species